GACAGAGGGGGCAAGCGUUGCUCGGAAUUACUGGGCGUAAAGGGCGCGUAGGCGGGAUGGCAAGUCGGUCGUGAAAUCCCUCGGCUCAACCGAGGAACGUCGAUCGAUACUGCUGUUCUUGAGGAUUGCAGAGGAGACUGGAAUUCCCGGUGUAGCGGUGAAAUGCGUAGAGAUCGGGAGGAACACCUGUGGCGAAGGCGGCCCCCUGGGCCGCACCUGACGCUGAGACGCGAAGGCGUGGGGAGCGAACGGG
rnacentral:rRNA from 1 species